GGUCCGUUCGUAUCAAUCGUCUGGCAGGGGCGGGGGAACCAAUUAUCGGUUUGAGCGCAUUGCGCGAAGACCUUGGGGUGAAGCCGCGAAGCGUUAGUUCACGCGGAGGAAGAAAUUCCUUCGCUGUUCAAAUGUGGAGCGGCCGGGUGACUCCCAUCCGAAUCCGACAGCUUACCUCGCAGGCAUUGGGAGAGGAAAC
rnacentral:sRNA from 2 species